rnacentral:rRNA from 1 species
UACGGGGGGAGCAAGCGUUGUUCGGAUUUACUGGGCGUAAAGGGUGCGUAGGCGGCGCGGUAAGUCGGGUGUGAAAUCUCGGGGCUUAACUCCGAAACUGCAUUCGAUACUGCCGUGCUUGAGGACUGGAGAGGAGACUGGAAUUUACGGUGUAGCGGUGAAAUGCGUAGAUAUCGUAAGGAAGACCAGUGGCGAAGGCGGGUCUCUGGACAGUUCCUGACGCUGAGGCACGAAGGCCAGGGGAGCAAACGGG